rnacentral:rRNA from 1 species
GUGUCAGCAGCCGCGGUAAAGCGUAGGUACCGAGCGUUAUCCGGAUUCACUGGGCGUAAAGCGCGUGCAGGUGGUUUGGUUAGUCGGGCAUGAAAUCUCUUGGCUCAACUGAGAGACGCUGUCCGAUACUGCCGAACUUGAGGGUGUGAGAGGGAGGUGGAAUUCCGCAUGUAGUGGUGAAAUGCGUAGAUAUGCGGAGGAACACCAGUGGCGAAGGCGGCCUCCUGGCACACUCCUGACACUCAGACGCGAAAGCUAGGGGAGCGAACGGGAUUAGAAACCCCCGUAGUCC